UCCAGUCACUCUAGUGUUUCUUGGUAGAACCCAACAGGAGGCCAGCUGGCAAAUAAAUCAGGGAAAUGUUUGCUGUGUCUUUAGCCACAGAAUGGUAAGGCAUUCUGGAAGACAAGUGAGGAAAGUUUUCUGAGGUGGCAAUUCCUAAGCAUAUGCUGAGAAUGACCCUGUAGUCUAAGAAGAAUGUGUGUUCAGAGUUCUGAAACCCUGGCCUUUCCCUUAGAACACAGGCUGUCCAGCGGAUUGAGGCCCUUUGUUUUGGGUUAAAUAGUGAUUGCUAGAUGGAUGGUACUGUGUGAAAAUACUGUAUGAACUGCAUGCUUUUUACAAAUGGUAGCACUUCUCCUGUUCAGCUCGCUGCCACUGGACUGUCCCUGAAAGCAAGUUCCCCCAAAGAACCCUGUGUCUUAUUCCUUGUCUCCAGGUCUCUUCUUCAGCCUCUCAGACACAGUGCCAUCCCUAUUGGAGUAAAUAGGGGUUCAGGAUGACACCUUUAUGACCUCGUUUAAUCUUUAUUACCUCUUUAAGGAACCUAUUUCCAAUAUAGUCA
rnacentral:lncRNA from 10 species